UAGUAAAAAAUUAUCCAUUUUUUUUUUGUUAAAAAUUGACAUAACUAAUAGAAUAUUCAAACGGUGGCACAUGAUAUGCUGUGUGUAUCUCAUGCUGACAUAUAAUGAUAAAUUUUUAACAGUGAAAAUAGAUGAAAAUUUUAAUA
rfam:Gossypium arboreum cultivar AKA8401 contig_6293_1, whole genome shotgun sequence.